CGGGUCCCUUUUUCUCCCACGCUUCUGCACAUUGGGGACCCCCCCCAAAUCUCCUGGGUGACCCCUGACCCCUCUGUGACCCUCCGUGACCCCCUGUGACCCCCUAAAUCCCCUGUGGGACCCCCACCCCACAGCCCACCCCACCCCCCUCCAACCCCCGCGUGACCCCAAACCCUGAACUCCCCUGAAACUCCCACUGGGGAGCACCCAAGGGUGGCCUGGGGGUGGUUAAUGGAGGUUUGGGUGACCUAGAACCCAUUGGGGAGCACCCAAGGGUGGGCUGGGUGGUCAUGGGUGGGUUGUGUGACCUAGAACCCACUGGGGAGCACCCAAGGGUGGCCUGGGGGUGGUUAAUGGAGGUUUGGGUGACCUAGAACCCAUUGGGGAGCACCCAAGGGUGGGUUGGGGGUGGUGAACGAAGGUUUGGGUGACCUAGAACCCAUUGGGGAGCACCCAAGGGUGGCCUGGAGGGGGGUUGUGGGUGGGUUGGGUGACCUAGAACCCAUUUUUUUCAAUUUUGGGAUUCCCAAAUUUUGGGGUCCCCAGUUUUGGAAUCCCAAAUUUUGGGAUUCUCAGUUUUGGGAUCCCAAAUUUUGAGAUCCUCAGUUUUGGGGUCCCCAAAUUUGGGGGAAGAUUUGGGGCGGGGUCAGUCCUCGGUCACCCCAGGGAGGUCCCCAGUUUUGGGAUCCCAAAUUUUGGGGGAAGAUUUGGGCCCGGGUCAGUUCUGGGUCACUCAUUUGGGAUCCCAAAUUUUGGGGUCCCCAAUUUUGGAAUCCUCAAUUUUGGGAUCCCCAAAUUUUGGGGUCCCCAAUUUUGAGAUCCUCAAUUUUGGGAUCCCCAAAUUUUGGGAUCCCAAAUUUUGGGGGAAGAUUUGGGGCAGGGUCAGUUCUGGGUCACUCAUUUGGGAUCCCAAAUUUUGGGAUCCCCAAUUUUGGGAUCCUCAAUUUUGGGAUUCCCCAAUUUUGGGAUCCUCAAUUUUGGGAUUCCCAAAUUUUGGGUUCCCCAAUUUUGGAAUCCUCAAUUUUGGGGUCCCCAAUUUUGGAUUCCCAAAUUUGGGGGAAGAUUUGGGGCAGGGUCAGUUCUGGGUCACUCAUUUGGGAUCCCAAAUUUUGGGGUCCCCAAUUUUGGAAUCCUCAAUUUUGGGAUCCCCAAAUUUUGGGGUCCCCAAAUUUGGGGGAAGAUUUGGGGCGGGGUCAGUCCUCGGUCACCCAAGGGAGGUCCCCAAUUUUUGGGUCUCAAAUUUUGGGGGCAGAUUUGGGGCAGGGUCAGUUCUGAGUCACUCAUUUGGGAUCCCAAAUUUUGGGGUCCCCAAGUUUGGAAUCCUCAAUUUUGGGAUCCCCAAAUUUUGGGGUCCCCAAAUUUUGGGGUCCCCAAAUUUUGGGGGCAGAUUUGGGGUGGGGUCAGUCCUCGGUCACUCAUGUGGGAUCCCCAAUUUUGGGAUCCCAAAUUUUGGGGGCAGAUUUGGGGCAGGGUCAGUUCUGGGUCACUCAUUUGGGAUCCCAAAUUUUGGGGUCCCUAAUAUUGGAAUCCUCAAUUUUGGGAUCCCCAAAUUUUGGGGUCCCCAAUUUUGGGAUCCCCAAAUUUUGGGUUCCCCAAUUUUGGGAUCCUCAAUUUUGGGAUCCCCAAAUUUUGGUGUCCCCAAUUUUGGAAUCCUCAAUUUUGGGUUCCCCAAUUUUGGAAUCCUCAAUUUUGGGAUUCCCAAAUUUUGA
ensembl:lncRNA